rnacentral:lncRNA from 1 species
CAGGCAAACGGAUUAAGUCGAUUAUAUCGACUCCAGUGCGUACUUAUUUAAUCGACUCCGAAAGGAUGAAAAGCAAAGUCGACCUUGGCGGAAUUUCAACUCAGAACGUAACAGCAGACGAAAUACUGCUAUGCAUUUUAUCCGGCGUGCUAACGAUUCUGCCAGCUUGCCGCCUUAUAUGAUCCCUAAGUACUAGUUGAGCACUGGGUUCGAUGCAGGCGACUAACCCCUCCCACCACAGAAUUACAUGUCGUACGCUUAUAUUUAAUUAGGAGUUUUAUUACAAGGGGGACUGUUCUUUAGUAAACACCGGUUAUGCCUGCCAACAACCAUGCCGAUGGUUUGUGGUGUAAAUAUUUUAUGUCGCCGUCUCUUCACACCCACCAGUCAACGAUGGACCCUUCAUUCCGUAAAGGUAUAUUUCUUUAAUGCUUUUUACUGUAUGAUCCCGAAUCAAUUUAUGGUUUACAUAUUUCUGACAGCGAUGCUAUUUACAGUUUUAGUUCCCCGACUAAGGUCUUGGAGAUCAUAAUUAGGCGACUUUGCUUCGAUGCUCGAUUGUAGUUAAUUAGCAUUAACAUUAAUUAAGCCGUUGAUGGCACUGAGAAAUGUAUGAACGUCACACCUUCACAUCUAUAAUUCCAUGCCGCAUGUCUGUGAAUAUACGAAGAUUCAUUCUCUCUCCUCUGUCCCAAUCCAGAAGGUUAAACUCGCAUUUUCAGUCCAUGGCCUUUAAACUAUAGUGUUUUGACCCGGGCCGGAAAAAACUAAAAAAACUACUUGUUCUAAACACACACACAAAGAGAAAUGGUUGGUUCAAGGCAAGUGUGAAUUGAACUGAAUUUAAAUAAGCAAGAAAGAUAUUAUCAAAGAAAAGGCCAUAGCACCAUCUUUAAUAUGUUGUUGUUAUUAUUAUUAUGGAGUUGAAUGUGUGUGUGGUGAAGUUAUUAAUAUCAAUACCAAUACAUUACCCAACACCAUUGAAGUGAAAUAAUAGUUUCUAUACGAUCCUUCGGUAUAAGUACACACGUGACUUUGUUUACAUUUCUGAAGAUAACAGAAACACUUUUCUCCCACCCCUAAUCCUAACCCUAACCCCCCCCCCCAUAUAUAUAUAUAUAUAUAUAUAUAUAUAUAUAUAUAUAUAUAUAUAUAUAUAAAGCACUUUCUUGAAAUGUAUCCGGUACUUACACCGAAGUUACGCCCUAUACUUUUGGUUUGGCACUACUGAAUUGAGUCAAAGACUAUAUAAUACAAGUCAGCAGAAAAAAAAAAUGCGAUAUCCAUAACAGUAAAGAAAUAAGACCUCCCCCAAGCAGUUACCCUUGUGUUUAAAAUCUCCCUAACAAAAAGAAGAGAGGUUUUUGGCUAUGGACUACAUUGAUCUUUCCAAGUUGUGGUUUAGCCACUAUUUACACUAUUUUUUUUUGUUUAUUUUUGUGCCCGAGUCAGACGCUUUCAGAAAUUCACAAUGUGAAUUUUCCGAGUCCUCUCCUCCACCCCCUUUCGCGAGCGCGCAUCUUUUUUUGUCAUAUUCGUUUAGAGCAAGUUGUUUUUCACCACUUCACAACCAGUGUUGUUUUGUUUGUCUCCUUAACUCAGUGGUUCGGCAAAAAGAGACCAAAACAAUAAGUACUAAACUUAUUAAGUACUGGGGUCAAAAUUGCUAGCCUUGUGCUUAUAGUAGAAAUCAUCAUCAUCAUCAUCAUCAUUAUUAUUAUUAUUAUUAUAUCGAAAAGUGGCGAAUUGGCUGAUGAAAAAUGCUUUAUUCUUUUGCUCUUUUACACGGUUCAGUCAUUUGACUGUGGCCACGCUGGGGCACUGUCUUUAAUCGAACAAAUUGACCUCAGGAUUUAUUCUUUGUAAGCCUAGUACUUAUUCUACCGUUCGCUUUUGAUGAACCACUAAGUUACAGGACGUAAACACACCAACAUCAGUUGCCAAGCGAUGGUGGAGGUACAAACACAGAUACACAAAUACAUACAUACACACACACAUUUAUGUGUGUGUGUGUGUGUGUAUAUAUAUAUAUAUAUAUAUAUAUAUAUAUAAUAUAAUAAUAAUGAUAAUAAUAAUAAUAAUCUGUCUAUAAAUCCACUCACAAGGCUUUGGUUGGUUUGAGGCUCUACUAGAAGAUACUUGCCCAAGGUGCCAUGCAGUGGGACUGAACUCGGAACCAUGAGGCUGAGAAGCAAGCUUCUUAUCACACGGCCACACUUAUGGCAUUUUUUUUCUAAAUUUAUGCUCUGAGUUCAAAUGCUACCAGAGUUAACUUUUCCUUCCAUUCAGGGUCAAUAAAAUAAGUACAAGUUGAGGACUGGUCAGUGCUAUGAACUUACGCUCGCUUCCAAAAUUUCAAGCCUUGUGCAUGGGUAAUACAAUGGAUUAUUAUUAUUUCUUGUCUAUCAUACUGCUGCCAACUUGGAUGGCUGGUCCCUCUGUUAGGAUCACAGUAAGAAGAUCUCCUCUCAGGCGUACUCCACAUCUAACAACCUGUAAUGGUGGCACUUUUAUGCCCCAUUCCAGGCUUAGUUUUUGGCUUUUAUGACUGUUUAAUUCACUGUUCCACCACCAUGUCAACCUUGGUCUGGCUAAAACUUUGCUCCAGCUACAGAUUUGGUUUUUAACAGUCAGGCAGGAGCAGUAAAUCUGUGGGGGAGCAUCAACAUCAUUUUGAGAGGUUCUGUUAUAUUUUUUAUUAUUAUUAUUAUUGAAAAAGGAGGAGCUGGCAGAAUCGCUAGCAAUCUUUAUUGAACGAAAUGCUUGAGCAGUAUUUCGCUCAUCACUACGUUCUGAGUUCAAAUUCUGCCGGGGUCGACUUUGCCUUACACUGGGGUUGAUGUAAUCAACUCAUCCCCACCCUUGUGGCAAAAUUUGAAACCAUUAUUAUUAUUAUUGAAACUUGCAAGAAAAGUCCCAUCCUGUAUUUUGCGAGGGUCCUAAGUAAAAUUCUUGAGAUUGAAGCCUGGGGAGACUUGUUAUCACCAAUUCUCAAGAUAACCCAUUCCUGUUAUGUAAUAUAGCGUGGAAUAGUUAUAUAAUAAUAAAUGUCUCCAAUAUAGUCUCAGGGCCUGAAAUUUAGAGGAGAGUAGUUGAUGCCAUCAACCCAGUACCUGAGUUUAACUUCAUUUUAUUGAAUCCAGUUGGAAGAAUAGCAUAGUUGGCUUUGGCAGGACUUGAACUCAGAAUAAGUCAGAAGUAAUACCACAAGGCAUUUUGUCCAGUGCUCUAAUAAUUCCUCCAAGCCACCACCCAACAAUGAUGAUGAUAAUAAUCCUUUCCAAUAAAAGGAACAAGGUUUGAAAUUUGACAAUGGCUGGUAAGCUGAAAGGCUGCUUGAUUGUUGACCCUGGUGCUCAACUGGUAUUUAUUUUAUUAUCACUAACCAUUCCAAGAUAAAGUUAACUUCAGUGGGAUAAUAAUAAUAAUAAUGGUAAUAAUAAUAACAAUAAAAAUUAAAAAUGGCCUGAUGAAGCAGCAGGCAAUGGCUCUCAUGGUUUCUAAAUUGAGUGAUCAGAAGUGUUAUGCACAUUGUUUGGUCUUGGUAUAAAAGAUGGGCUACAACAAAUAUUCUGCUCAAUACCACAGAUUUGCUUGUCAGUUGCUGGACCAUAACCAUUUGAACAUGUCUCUUACUGGCUGACGAUAUGUGCAUCUUUGAUCAUCAUCAUCAUUAUCGUUUAAUGUCUGCUUUCCAUGCUGGCAUGGGUUGGACGGUUUGACUGGGGACUGGCAAGCCAUGACGCUGCACCAGGUGCCAGUCUGAUCUGGAGACAGGUUUCUACAGCUGGAUGCCCUUCCUAACACCAACCACUGAGAGUGUAGUGGGUGCUUUUUAUGUGCCACCAGUAGGGGAGCCAGUUGGGGUAGGGGGGCUGCCAUCGACCUCAUUCGGAUGGUGCUGUUUAUGUGCCACUGGCAUGGGGAGCCAGUCAGUCAGGAGCAGAAAUAGUGGGGGAGCAUCAUAGCCAUAUGUUGAGAGGAAAAUUCUUUGGAGUGGUGAUUGACACAGAUGGUAGAGUUUUGGACAACAUGGGUGCAUCAUCCUUAACCAAUCUUUAUUCAGGAACCUUUUGAGGAGGAUGGGCUGCUCAACAUGAACAAAAUUCUAACUGGGCCCCACCUGCAAAGUCAUGUGCUCUUCAUCUUGAUAUGAGGUCACCAUAUUGCACACAUAUGUUUGUGAUGCAUGUGCCUGGUGUACCCUUAUCAGAUGGGUAGUCAUGAUGGGUGUGUAUUGGGUUUUGUAUAUUUGUACCCAGGCAUCAAUUUGGUGGCAUAUGCUAAUCUCUCAUUCACUUAUUUUAUUGACCCCCAAAAAUGAAAGGCACAGUUGACCUUGGCAGAAUUUGAACUCAGACCAUGAAGAUGGAUGAAAUACUGAUAAACAUUUUGCCCAACAUGGAAAUGACUCUGCCAGCUUGCCACCUUAGGAAUAAUAAUAAUAAUUUCCUAAUGCCAACCAUUCCGAGAGUGUAGUGGGUGCUUUUUAUGUACCACUGGCACGGGAGCCAAUCAGAUGGCACUGGCAACGUGCUGCCUGACUGGCUCCUGUGCUGGUAUCACGUAAAAAAACACCAUCCGAACAUGGCUGAUGCCAGUGCCACCACCCCAACUGCUGCUGUGCCAGUAACACAUAAAAAACACCAUCCGAAUGUGGCCAAUGCCAGUGUCACCACCCUGACUGGCUCCUGUGCUGGUGGCACGUAAAAACCACCAUCCGAACGUGGCCGAUGCAAGUGCCGCCUGACUGGCUCUCGUGCUGGUGGCACGUAAAAAGCACCCACUACACUCUUGGAGUAGCUGGCAUUACGAAGGGCAUUCAGCUGUAGGAACAUUGCCAGAUCAGAUUGAAGCCUGGUGCGACCUCCUGGCUCGCCAGUCCCCAGUCAAACCGUCCAACCCAUGCCAGCAUCGAAAAUGGAUGUUAAACGAUGAUGAUGAUUACCAAAAGCAGUUGUGCAUCAGAGUAGAUUUCUUAGUGUAAUUAAUUUCGUCUUUACAAAUUCUAGGUUCAAAUCCCCGCAAAGGUCAACCUCCUGGGGUCGAUAAAAUGCAUCAAUCAUCUCUAAGGGUUAAUAUAAUUGAUUACAUCUCUUCUACAAAUUUGUUCCAUUGUCAUCAUCAUCAUCUUUUAACAUCCAUUGUCCAUGCUGGUAUGGGUUGGACAGUUUGACCAGGGCUGGUAAGUUGAAAGGCUGCACAAGACUUCAGUCUGAUUUGGCAUGGUUUCUAUGGCUGGUUGUCCUCUCUAAUGCCAACCAUUCCAAGAGUGUAAUGGGUGUAGCCUUGAAAUGAUAAUUACAUAAUAAUUAUAAUUAGUAAAUUAUUACCGUAACACAUACUAAUGAUGUUGAUGGUUAAUGAGAUGUAAGCUUGUGUAAAUUCUAAUUCUUAUUUCUUUUUUGUUUUCUUCUUUUUUUUUUUAUAUUUUCAGUUGCGGUUUAUAUCUCCUGAAGCGACUUCAUCUUUGAUAAAGCUUUCAGAGCAUAGACAGAGGAGACCCAUAAAAAGCAGAGAAGAUUAGCCGAGCCAUGCUUGCCUAUAUCGAAG